UUUCCGGUAACCACAAUAACAUAUUUUUACAGGAAAUGUGUUAUCGUGGUUAACGAAAAAAAUAUGUUAUUGUACGGAAACUAUUUUGCAAAAACAAAUCCUUGACAUGUGAUCACGCUCUGCCUGCGUGGGGGGUUUCGCCUAUAAAUAGAGAACCAAACAAGCAUACAACACAGUCGACAUCUGAAAGUCUUACAGUAAGUCAUAAGUUCGCAGUGCAGUGAAAAUAGUGAAGCAAGGUAAGCUAUUUGUGUUGUUUAUUUUUUAAAUACGUAUUUCUGAAUGUAUUGUGUACCUGUUUUCAUUGUUAAGUAAUUUUAUGUAUUUAUUAUAUCCUUUUUCAUGGUUCAAAAUAUUUUCCCAACCGCUAUUUUUUAUAAGCAUUGUUUUCCUCUUUUCGUAUUUUGAUUUCACGUUCCUCUCUUUUCAUAUUCUGAUUUCAUUCAGUAUUUUAUUUAAAAAAUGUUUAUUUUUACGACUUCAUGUAGCGUCUAACAUAAUUCACAGCUUUUCUCUCUCAUCCUAAUCGUUUAAUGUAUCUCCACAUUUUCGUUAAAAAAAGAAAAUAGAGAAAAAUAGAAAGUUUUCGUAUUGUUGCAGAUGGAUCUAACCAAAAUAAACAAAUUCUCGCUUAUUGCAGAGAGAAAGCCUGUCCAAAAUUUGAGGGACCUACCUGUCGACACUCCAUUUAUAAUUUACUCAGCGAAAAUAGUAAAAAGCAAGUUUGGGGAGGUUGUAUUGCUUGAACUAGAAGAAAGCGUGGUUUUCCUACCGGACAGAGUGACAGAAGACUAUAAGCCAUUUUUACAAGAAUUUUCUAGCCAAAAAUAUUCCCUAGUCUACAAAGGCGCCAUCAAUAUUGGAAAGCAACAUCCUGCAUCAUCUUCAUUGUCUAUUUCACUUUUCAUAUUUUCGCUGUUGGUGUUGUUGCUGGCUCCCAUGGUGUAGGCUGAAUACGUCUUAACGGAUAUGUAGCUUGUGGUAGUUUUCUAAAGGCGUAAAGACCUUGCUGCUGCUCUUCAGACCUCCACGUUUGCCCCUCAAUAUGCAGACUAUCGAAUUGCCUAUUAAUUUGUUUUAAAUCCUCAUAUGAUUUAAUAUCUUUAUUUAACAGGCUGAGUUUACUUUGAAACUCCAUUACCCUAUGUAUGUACUCGAUGGGAUUCAUACUAGUACUGAUCAUGUUCUGCGUGAAAAGUCUCAAUAAAUUCCAACUUUGGAGCACACCUCCUGCGUCGAAUGUUGCGUAAAUGCCACAUCAUUCGCGUUCAAAUGUCACGUUAAAGAGGUACACUGUUAGGAUGGUUUAAAGAUAAAUAGCCUAUACCAUUAGGGAAUAGAGUGUAGCAGAGACCAUUAGAGACCAUUAGAAACCAUCAGGUCACGUUAUUCUCGUCACGUCAUUCACGUCACGUCAUUCGCGUCACGUCAUUCGCGUCACGUUAUUCACGUCACGUUAUUCACGUCACGUUAUUUCACGUCACGUUAUUUCACGUCACACCAUUCACGUGACGUUCUGUUAGGCACUAUACGGAAAAGAAGAAGAAGAAUUGACAGUUAAUGUUGAACGUUGACAGAAGAAGAAUUGACAUUUGCCAUCUGUGUCGCCACCGCUUUCAUUUGACACCCCAUACGUCAAAAUCGGAUCAUUAGCAAAGAAGAUAUGUUGUAAUGCCGUUUUGGCAAUGUCAAUGAUUUGUUUUUUAAAGGAUUCCGCAGCUCGUUACCCCAACGCGGCACGAACGUGAUCACAUGUUUACAUUCUCACGGUUACGUUGUUCAUUUCAGAGAUAAGAUUUCCAUGUUUUGCAAAAAAACAUGACAAACAAGACCUUGUGGUUUUAAAAAUAUGCGAUAACAUUUACACAAAUAACAACAGUGGUUACAUGUUAUCAUCUGACUACAUCCGGACUUUUAGUAUUGUGGUUUGUCAUAUCUUUAGCGGUUUCCUGUUGUUGCAAAAAUAACGUCUACAUUCUUUUCUUAUCAACCAUCCACAUCCGGAAUGUUGAUAAACAACAACCUGUUAUUUAAAAAAUAUUUUUGUAAAUAAUUCAAAAUAUUUGAUUUUUCGUAAUUUGUAUAAAUAUUAUAUUUUCAGCCCUAUAUAUGAUAAUCGUAUAGCAUUUCACAUUUUUAUACAUGUUCAGAAUGGGCCAUUGUCAUGAUGAUGAUUAUAUAGCAUUUUUAUAUACUUUCAGAAUGGCCAUUGUCAUUGCCAUGUUGCCUUUUCAAAAUCAACAAUCUUCUUACGAUCUUCUGGUCAUUGAUGGUCUUUUACUUCUUCUCAUGUUCAGAAUGGGCCAUUGUCAUGUACUUUACAUGUUGCCUUUUCAAAAUCAACAAUCUUCUUACGAUCCUCUGGUCAUUGUAGGUCUUUUACUUCUUCUCAUGUUCAGAAUGGUCCAUUGUCAUGUACUUUACAUGUUGCCUUUUCAAAAUAAACAAUCUUCUUACGAUCCUCUGGUCAUUGUUGAUCUUUUACUUCUUCUACUUCUUCUACAUUCAACGAGCCAUCGAUGCCAAGGACCAUGAUGGAUAGGUAUCACGAUGGCCGAGAAUCGGUAUGCCGAUUCUGGACCACUUUUUCCCACGGUGAGCGAGAAUCGGUAUGCCGAUUCUGGCUCAUGUGAGCGGGAAUCGGUAUGCCGAUUCUGGCUCACGAUGUUGCGCCUCCACCACGAAGUGAGCGGGAAUCGGUGCUAUUCAUCUACUCUUAAGUAUUCGGGAGAGAUUAAAUGUCCAGCAAACGACGGCACUGUUGCCAGAUUUACCUUUUUCCUUUAAGGGGGAAUUUUAAAAUUAGUCUAAUGCCACUUUGGUUUUAAAAGAGAGUUCUGUAUUCUUAAAUUUAUAACCUUACUUUUACAAGUAAUUAGGAUGAUUUUAUUUACAUGUAAAUAUUGAAACAAGUAUUGUACUGUGUCAUAAUUUAAAACUCGUGUUGCAGUAUUUUGAAAAAAAAAAUGAAGCUCAAAAGAAAUAUACUUAUACAGUACAAAUUAUUUUUUAAUGGGAAUGGAAAUUUACGAUUUCAAAGGUGAAAAUGUGUUGGGAUAGUAUAGAUGGACACUUUUUUAUUUUAGUAUUAAGUGGUUACAUAAUUAUUCAGAAUAUUAAUAAAAUUACUAGUAAUUUGAAUUAGUUUUAAUAUGUAUUAUAAUAGUAUUAAUUCUCAUCAUGUAUCUGGCUAAAUAGCUAAGCGCUAAAGCCGCAAAAUAAAAAAAAUUGAAAAAAAACAUUCUUAGCGAGGGCAAGUUAAUAAAUUCUAUUUUCUUAUUGCAGUCAUUUUGUGACGGCUUAAGAAGUUACAUAAAUGAUGUCUUUAGGCUGUGCAAUUUUAACUGUAGAAAGACAUCUUUAUGACUUGUAUUUACAUGAUAUAGGGCUUUUCACUCAGUCAUUUGUUUCGAGCUUCUGUCAUGUGUUGUCUAAUAUUAAUAUAUCUACGUCAUAUGUUAUUGGUAUUGCCAAUGAUAGAAACCAAAGACGUAUGACGUAGAUAUAUUAAUAUUAUGUGACACUUGACCGAAGCUCGAAACAAAUGACAAUCGAUGAAAAGCCCUAUUCAAUAGGGCAUUUCAUUCACAGUCAUUUGUUUCGAGCUUCUGUCAUGUGUCACAUAAUAUUAAUAUACCAAUCUACAUCGUACGUUAUUGGUAUAUACCAAUGAUUAUGGAGACCUACACAAAGGAGAGGAAUCGAGGUACGAUUAAUUACAGGGACCCGAUCCGUCAACUGUCAGUGUCAGUUAAAUUCACACGUGAUAUUGGUGACAUUUGAUAGACGUCAAGUUUUAUUUUUGUUUGUAGAAAUGGAAUAUUUUAUAUUACUUGUACGUUGUAUGUUAUUAUUUAAUUUCUAUAAAAUGGUAAUGUGUUGGGUAUCCGAAUGGUUAUCAUUGAUAUUGUAAGUACUAAAAUAUCUAAAAUUGUAAAUUUAUUGACACCAUAUUUUUAGGAAAUCUGCUGAAGGGAGUAAAACUACUCAUUUUAUGUUCCUGCUACUUUUAUAAAGAAGAUAAAGAAAAUCUUCUCACCAUAUUUUCAAAUAGGACUGGUGAAGAUGCUGAAGAAAUGCAGUAGUACUAUCUUGUGUGUAAAUCCUUGAUUUUGUGUAAUUUAUAAAAUUGAAAGCAAUAUGAUAUGACUAACAAUGAUUGUGCCUUUAUAAAAAAAUAUAUCACAGCAUAUCAAGAACGAUCACAAUUUAGUGAAAGUGUACAUGGGAAUAACAACUACUGUAUAUUGAAAUAUUGUUUAAUAUUUAAUAUGCUAAGUACAUGGACGUCUUUAUUUAUACGUCCAUGGCUAAGUAAUAUUCAGUUAGAAUAUUAUCAUGGAUCAUGGAUGGGUGAAAUAUCACAGUUUUAACAAAAAAAAGAAUGUGUUGUAUUUUGUACGCACCUAAGAAGUUAUACUUCUAUUAUAUGAUUUCAAUGAAAUAAACAUUUUAAACAGUU